rnacentral:lncRNA from 1 species
CACCGGGAUCGAGUCAUACACGCGCCGCUCCUCCUUGGUCAUCAGGCCUGGCAGGGAGACAGGGAGGGGAAUGCAAUCGUUUUUGGUCACGUCAUUCAGGUCAAAGAAUUUAAAUAAACCAAGGAAAUGGAUGUAGAAAUUUCUACUUCUGAUGCUGUUAGCAUGUGCAAGAUAACACAUAUAACAGUGGAUGGAACUACUUGUAGUGUAGAUCUUUUUAACUGUGUGUAGCAAUAUACUAUGUUAAGCUUCAAUAAACUUUAACGACUACUGAUCUCGAAAUGGUCUUGUUAAUGCUGCCAUCUCAAACUGGCAUGAAUAAAUUGGCUUACAUACCUAUAAGUAAAUCAUUUGAAAUAACGGCUGACUUGUGUUUACAAACAAGUCUGGUUCCCAUGUGACAUGCAUGGCAUUGUGAAAGUGACGCAAUGUGUUUUCCGGUUGACUGGCACAACAACACAAUGCUUCCCAUAAAUUUCACGGCUCGCGCAAGCACAGCAGCAUGCAUAGUGCAUCAUAGGGCAUUGCAACAGCGUUGCUGCGGGACAUCACAAACACGAGCUCAUUAUCUCGUAUAUUUUGCAAUAGUUUUGCAUGCAGCAUGGUCUGUCUGGUACUGUAGAAUAACAUGCCUAAUGAGGCUAGCUCACAGCAAUAAAAGCAGUCAAUUUACGUUGCACGAAAUAAAACAGUGACUUGUGCAAAAGAUAGCGGCAGCGAUUAUGAGAUCACAAUUAAAUGCAAAAAAUUUU